CNUUCNUACGGGAGGCAGCAGUAGGGAAUUUUCGGCAAUGGGGGAAACCCUGACCGACAACGCCGCGUGGGGGAAGAAGGCCUUCGGGUAGUAAACCUCUGUCUUUGGGGACGAUAAUGACGGUACCCGAGGAGGAAGCCCCGGCUAACUACGUGCCAGCAGCCGCGGUAAUACGUAGGGGGCGAGCUUUGUCCGGAAUCACUGGGCGUAAAGGGUGUGUAGGCGGCCUGUUAAGUCAGGCGUGAAAACCCCGGGCUUAACCUGGGGANUGCGCUUGAAACUGGCGGGCUUGAGGGCAGGAGAGGAAAGUGGAAUUCCCGGUGUAGCGGUGAUAUGCGUAGAUACCGGGAGGAACCCCAGUGGCGAAGGCGGCUUUCUGGCCUGCACCUGACGGUGAGGCGCGAAAGCCAGGGGAGCGAACGGGAUUAGAUACCCCGGUAGUCCUGCCCGUAAACGAUGGGUACUAGGUGUGGGAGGUAUCGACUCCUUCCGUGCCGGAGUUAACAAAGU
rnacentral:rRNA from 1 species